GGACACUUUUUAUGGGAUCCAUGGCCCCAGGUAGUCAGGGAAUUUAACCCUAACAUAAGGCCCCCACCAUCCCUAGGAUGGGGGAAGUGCCAUAUGAUCCGCAGCCCUUUGGCCACAUGGUGUAACUUUAUUUUUUGUUUUUCCAGUCACUUUUUCCACAAUGUGACUUAAUCGUUAGGAUAAGUAAUAUUUCCUCCAUCUUUUGAUGACAUUUCCUCUGAAAUAUGCUGCAGUUAAUAGAACUUUUAUCAGUUCGCGCUCCUUCACCUGAAAAGAAAUUAAAGCUUCUGAAAGAAAUAGCUGAGGAGCAUGGGUUAGAUUGGGAUCCAACCGCCUCUGAAGUGGAGUUUUUCAAACCUCAGGAUGAUUUGUUGAAUGGUCAACACAGUUUGAUAUAGAAUCUAAAUUGCCCCUACCAAGAGAAAAACAUGAUGAAACAUUGUUUUCUGCUCUGAACAACCCACAAAGAACAGCCAGAUUCUGAUCCUGGCGUUGAUUCAUUUGAUCUUCCUGAAGUUCCUGAAGUAUCACCAUGGCCAAAUGCAAAUUUUGCUUCAGCACCAGUGAUGGUCUCAUCUCUACAAGCUGUUCCACACCCUAAUAUUGAUCAUGAGUCAUCAAAGCAUUCUAGGGUCAUUGAAAAUCCACCAGAGGAGCCACAGUUGGAACCUGAGAAAAUGGUGCAAGAAAGAUCUGCUGCUAUUAAAAAUGAAACAACCUAGUGUUCCAGUUGGUGGUGUGCAAGAUAUACAAUUCGUGCCUUUUAUUUCUCCUCCAUCGCUAUCUUCUGCAUCAUUUUCUGCGGCACCAAGUAAAUCAGAAACCUCUCCUCAAGAUCAAAAAGUGAGGCUCAUGUGGAUUUGCAGGAUGUCGUAACUGCUGCUCGGGCUGCUGUAGAAACUGCUGAACGUGCAGCUGCUGCAGCUCGCUCUGCAGCUAGUCUUGCACAGCUCAGAAUUAAUGAGCUCACUAGGAAAAAUAGUGAUCAAUUCCCUGAAAAUAGCUCCGAGAAUCCAUUUUACAAGGAUAUGGCUAACCAGUCAGCUACUGAAGAAAAUCCACAUUUUGAUCAUCGAAACUUGGUUGGCAAUGCAGAUGAUGUUAUAGAUUCUCCAGAACCUAAUCAAGGCCUAGAAGACUGCCAGAGAACAGAGGCCUCAAGUCUUCCUGCAUUUGGCACGCCCAAAAUGGAUUUUGAUUCCUCUCUUCCCAUUGAUCAGGGGGGUCGUGGAAAUGAACUUGCUCCUCACCUGCCCAGAGAUUGACUUCAAUGGAUGAAGAUCCAUACUUCUCAUACCCAAAUUUGUUUACAUCGCAGAAUCCUGCUGCACAUUCUUCCACAGACAAUUCCCGAUUCUCCAAUGAGCUCUAAGUUGAAUUUUAUAUACCUAUAGGCAUUUGCUCAGCUUUGUUGCAACGUCGUACUGGAGAGUCAAUGUUACAUAUUGCGUUAUGGUUUUUAUUCUAUUAUUUAUUUAUUGUAAAAAGUGCAGUUAUUAGGUAUUAGAAGUGUGUAAUUUGCUUCAAAUCCCUUUAUCCAUGAACGAGUAGCAUCAACAGUAAUAAACUCUGCUUUUGUAGUUGAGAAGCCAUUCUUGAUGGCUGAUGCUACAGUUUGUUGAGUGUACAAACAUGUAUUGCUUUUUUUUUGUUUAUGUGAACAAGCAUUUAUUGCCA